ensembl:lncRNA
CUGGCCACAACCCCGCGCUUUUCCCUGGCAGACCCUGACCUACCCCACCAGGCCAGCCACCCCCAGCCCCAUUUUUGGAAGCGAUGCAGAGAAGAAGGAGACACCCUUCUCCUGGACCUCGGGAGGAGAGGACAGCCAGUGUCCUGACAGCCCGGCCGUGCUCUUCCAGCCCCGGGGGGAGCUGCCACCGUCCUGGGGAGCCCCCUGUCAGCGUGGGGGACCCCAGCCCCACGGUGGGCUGCUCCCCUCCAGCUCCCCCCCUGCCUACACCUGUGGAGGUCCCUCCAUUGGGCAGUCCCGCACCCCCCCACUGCCCCCCCCGGAUGUUUUCGAGGGGGACGCUGGCGAGGGGUGCAGCUGGAGCCACGAGCCAGCUUUCAGCCCAGUAGCGCUGGGGCAUCGCCGGCCACCUAGUCACUCUGUUACGGCACCGUUUGCACCCCAAAAUCUGUACUGCGGGGACAGCCUGCCCCCCCGCCCCCCCGAUUCCUGGAAUCCCGAGGGUUUAUGCUGCUGGAAGUUAGCCUUCGCACCGAGCCAGUCACAUGCGAAACACGGAGCACUGCGUUGCCGCCACCACCACCCACUCCAGUUUGACCCACUACGGCGUGACCUCCGCCACUUCGUGCGACCACCGGGACACCCAAGCCCCGGCUCCUGCUGCUGGCAGCCCCCACCGGAGCGCACCCCCUGCCCUGAAACCCACCGGCGGUGGAACUGGGAGGACUGGUGGAAUGCGCCAGAGCUGGGGUGUCGGCAGGGCCUGGGGGAGCAGGGCUGGUUCUGGCACAUGCCGCUCUCCUGCUUCCCUGCCUCGGAGGUGCUGGGGUGGGACGCCCCCCUCCCGCCCAGCCCCAAGGCCUGGGGCUGCCCUUACGUGGGGCUGCGCUGAGGGGGGGUCCCCCAAGCUUUUUUUUUUCUGGGGGNGGGCGCCCCCUUUCCCAGGGCGGCCCGGGGCUCAAUAAAAGAUGUUUUUCCCAACCGUGGUGUCACUGCUGGUCUGUCCUGGCGCCCCCAGACCCCCCCUGGACCUCCCUGGUAUGCUUGGCCCCACAGUCAGGGUGUGCCUGUGCCCAGGAAGGGAAACGCGGCUGGCAGUUUGGGGUGAGAAGAGCCAUUUCCAGGGCAUUUUGCAGAGCUGGGAUGGGAACUGGCGUUUUUGGGGCCAGAAAAGCCCUGAAAUUGGGGUGAAAAAAGCCUUUUCCAGGACAUUUCCUGGUACUGGAUUGGGAACCGGUGGUUUUGGGGCGAGAAAAGCCUUUUCCAGGGCGUAUUGCGGUGCUGGGAUGGGAACUGGUGUUUUUGGGGCAAGAAAAGCCCUGAAAAUGGGGCAAAAAAAGCCUUUUCCGGGACAUUUCCUGGUACUGGAUUGGGAACGGUUGGUUUUGGGGUAAGAAACGCCUUUUCCAGGGCAUUUUGCAGUGCUGGGAUGGGAACUGGUGUUUUUGGGGUGAGAAAAGCCUUUUCCAGGUGGGUUUUUUUGGGGGAGAGGCACUGCCGAAGCCGUUUGCGCCCCGGGCACCGCGCCGGCAUUGGGGAGUGGGGGUCUCCCACCCACCCCGAGCGUGAAC